UAAAAAGAUGAAAAGAAAUCAAAACAACCACAUGUUCGUCGCCCUCUUUAUUCCUUCGGCCAUGAACAGUGCCGCCCCCCACCAAAAUCAAACACCACCAGCCAUACCGCAACGACAAACCACCGUGCCGCCGUCUCCGAAUCCAACCAACGCCACAACCCGUUUCUUAAACAAUCAUUCACAGCAAGCAUAUAUACAUAGGCACACAUAUAUAAACUACUACUCCAUAUAUCCGUAUAGAUAUAGAAUCGAAUGUAGUUCCUCUGGUUUAUUUUCUGUUUUUCUUGAAUAUAGAAUAGAAUGUCCUUACACACAUGAGCAACUAUUGCCCAGCCUAAUAAAGCUUGAUAUAACAUCUUAUAUCUUGUUCUGCGUGAAGAGAAAAGAUCGAGAGAGGGGCAACUAAGAAGAUGGGUUUGUCACAUGAUGCUGCUCCGACUUUCAAAUCCUAUGGGGUUCCUCAUGGCUCAACUGGUAUGCCUUUCUAUUACAAUUAUUUACAAUAUUUUCUCUUUUUCUCAUGAUUUUGAGUGGAAUUGCGAAAGGUGUUGAUUUUAAUCUUGUUUGUUUGUGUGUAUUUGUUUGUUUGUUUAAUCCCUGUGUUUUGUUUGGUUUUUGGUGUUUUGGGCGAUUUUCAUGUUACAUGUGAUACGUUUCGUUGUUCGCUUCGCAUACGACGAGGCAACUUGAUCGAUAGCAUAGCGGUGGUGGCCGAUGGUGGCGGUGACGGCGAUUUCAGGACGGGAUCCGGUUUCAGAAAGGAAAGCGCGCUAAUUGUGCCUUAAUUGAGGGCGGUAAUUGUGUCUCGUUAAUUAUGCCUCUUUAUUGAGGGCAUAAAUUGUGCCUCAAUUAUUGAGGGCGUAAAUUAUGCCUCUUUAUUGAGGGCGUUAAUUGGGCCUUAUUUGAGGGCGUUAAUUGUGUCUUAAUUAAGGAUAUUAAUAUUUUAUUAUUAUGCCUUAAUUAAGAGCUUAAUUGUCUCAAUCAUGAGUUAUCAUGAUUGUGGGAAUAUUUUGAUGUAAUAUGUUAAAUAUAUCGACUUAUAUUCUUUUUGUUUCUAUUGUUUUAUUUUCAGGAUUCUUGGAAGAAGGCCGGUUUUCUUUUCGGACAUUAAAGUUUUAUUGUCUAAAUUUCCCCGGUCAUCUUGCAUGUCCGACGGUUAGAUAAUAAGCUUUCUUGAAUGAAAGAAUUAUCACGGUGAUUUGCCGAUUCUCGUUGAGAUUUAUUCUCAUUUUCAAAAAAAAAAAAAAAAAGAUGAAAAGAAAUGACUGGUACAGACAGAAUAUAUAAGUUUACGAUGCAUACAGAUCUAUUUCAAGAACAUUAGUUUACAAUGCAUGCAGAUCUAUCUCAAGUACAUUCGAAUACAUGUCGCAAAAUACUAUGCCCUGUUUGGGGAUUAACUGUUAGCGGAUUGAAUUAGAUGUUUUGACUAGCGGAUUGAAAUAGAUGUUUUGACUAGCGGAUUGAAUUAGCUGUUUUUUGUAAAACUGUUUGGUUAAUAGCUGAUUGAUUAGCUUUUUUUGACACAAACCAGAACCUCUAACACAAAGUAGCUUUUUCAAAAUUAGCUUUUUGGGUCCAAACCUCUAUUUCAAUCCGCUAACUACCAAACAGUUAUAUUAUCGGGUUCUAGUGGUCAAACCUCUAAACCACCCCAAACCUUUAAUUUUGCCCGAAACCUCUAAUUUCCAAAUAAGGCCUAUAUUUUUGGCUUGGCUGUGACUUGUGAGACUGUGGGUGAGACUGUGGUUGCUGCCUUGCUAGUUCUUGACUAUAGCAUGCUGGUACAUUUAUCAAUUUUUAGUUAAGACUUAUCAGUUCAGAAAAUAUUUUGAUGUCCCCUCUGGAUUGGAUCCUAGAUCCGCCCCUACAUGUGCAUUUGCUCAAAUAAUAUAAGGGGCCGUUUUCUUUUGACCAUGAUAUUAAUCGAUUUUUUUUAUGAGUGUUUGUUUCAUUAUAGUUGUUAUUAUUUUCUUUUCUUAGUUUUAUGUUUAUCAAUAUCCCUUCUCCCCAUUUCUCAGAGCUUGCAAUAUAUAUUUGUCUUAUCUUUCUCAUUUUUUCGUAAACGCUGCGCACGAAAAGCUCCCUCCCUCCAUCCGAGCGAAUAAUAUACUCCCUCCGUCUUAAAAUAUAAGUCUUUUUGAAAAAAAAAAAUUGUCCCAAAAUACUUGUCCCUCUCUUCUUUUAAUACAAAUUUAUCUCUAUAUUAAUUAUGAUUUCUUUGAAACUCAACUUUAUCCUCAUUUCUCAAUGCACUAAAUUUCUAUAUUUAUUGUGAUUUUUUUGAAACUCAACUCUAUUCUCACUUCUCAAUGCACUAAUUAAUGAUAGAUGAGACAAAAUUAUAUAUAACCAAUUUUUUUAUUAAUAUGCGUGUUUUUUUCAGAAGAUACUUAUAAAUUGAGAGAGAGAGAGAGUGGCACAUAGGUUAAAAAAAUGUAAUUUAAGGAAUAAAAAGUAGGAAAAAUAAGUGAAGUGAUGAGAUCAACCGAUAUUUAUUGUUUUAAAUAUGUAUAGUGUGGAUAAAAUAGUCGGACAACUGAUUUUAACAUAUAGAAUGGGUUUAGCAAGAAAAUUAUAAAUAUUUAGUGCUUGUUUGGGUGCAUAAUAUAAGAACUUCUUUUCUCGAAGUCAGCUUCUGUUUUUUUCGACCCGUUUGUGUAAAUAAUUAAGAAGCAUUUAAAAGAAGUUAAGAAUGCUAGCUUUUGUUUCAAGACUUCUACUUAUUUUCCAAACACUUUAAUCACUUAUAAGUCUUAAUUUGCUUCUAACUUAUAUAAGAAGCACUUAUGCUCACCCAACUGGUCCUAUAAUUUCAUAUUUUUCCCCUCAUUCUCAAAUUUAUUUUUUUGUCACAACAAAAGCUGGACUCUUAUUUGAGGCGAGCGAGUCAGCCAAGCCAAGUAAAGUACCGUUCAGUUUCAGUUCUUUUCAUCUUCUCAAUCUCAGUCCAUCUCCCCCGUCUAUACACACACUUUUUUGUAUCUAUACGCCCAUGUUUGAUCAUGGGGAUGAGCUCAUAAUCGAUAGCUACAGAAUACCAUGGCUCAUAUGGAUUCAGCUUGUAGUAAUGUUCCUUCUCAUCCUCUUAUUCUACUUUUUUAGCUUUGAUGAUCAUUCACCCACCUCUAAUCAUGCCUCUUCUUCUUCAAACAACAAUACCCAGGAGCCCAGGGAAAAUCUGAUUAUCAAAGAACCAGGAUCACGUGCAAGCAGGGAAAUAGAAAGAAGAGAGGAUAUUAAUGAAACUGAGGGUUCUUCAGGGAAAGACGAAACAAGUGACCCACAUUUCAGGCAUGCUCAACAUCCUUGCCACUUUCUGGGGAUAGCUAAGCAAGCUUUCCUUAAGUGCUUGGGUUUGGAUUUAUCCUCCGAGAGCUCUUCAGAUAGCAAUGAAAGGAGGGAUUAAUGUACACAUUUCACCUCUCUUCUACCCUUUCUAAAACUCAUUCUGAUCUCCAGAUAAGCAGAGGCAACUAAUGAUAACGUUUUUUCUCUUUUUGCCAAAUGGUGGUCACUCAUUUGUGUCUCAAGUGUAUCCUAACCCCGGCACUAACGAAAUCUUUCCCUCUUUUAUUCUUACAAUAUGUUUUAUAUGUGAGUAGUUUAGUUAAUAGUUAGUCUGGUUCUUUUCCUGUGAGGUAGUGUUGGACAGCUUCUUCUAUUGGUACAUUGGUGUCAUGUUUUUAAUUUUGUCACUAUGGCCAUCUUUACCACAUUACUUUCAAGUUUCAAUAGCUCUCUGUAUAUUCGAGACA